AUUUAGAGCAUUGCAAAUUGAUAGUGCAUUUGCAAUGCAAUGCACUUUUCCAUUUCCAGUUACUUCCUCACUUUAUUAACUUAUCGAAACCUUUCAACAGUCUUUCAAACAUCGUAGACUAGUUCCAAAAGCCAAGCCAAUCCUCGAGCUUGCCCAUAGGCCCAAAUUCGGUAUAUUACAGUCCAUCUCAAGUCUCAAGUCAUCAUGUCUAAAAUAUGGAAUGUAGCAAAUGUCUCAAUGGCCUAUCACUAUGUCAUCAUGUCUAAAACAUG
rnacentral:lncRNA from 1 species